GACGGAGGGUGCUAGCGUUGUUCGGAAUGACUGGGCGUAAAGGGCGCGUAGGCGGCCGCUUGCGUCGGAUGUGAAAGCCCGGGGCUCAACCCCGGAACGGCAUCCGAUACGGGGCGGCUCGAGACCGAGAGAGGUGAGUGGAAUACCCAGUGUAGAGGUGAAAUUCGUAGAUAUUCGCAAGAACACCAGCGGCGAAGGCGGCUCACUGGCCCGGUACUGACGCUGAGGUGCGAAAGCGUGGGGAGCAAACAGG
rnacentral:rRNA from 1 species